rnacentral:rRNA from 1 species
ACUUGAACUUCGGUUUGGGUGGCGGACGGGUGAGUAACGCGUAAAGAACUUGCCUCACAGUUAGGGACAACAUUUGGAAACGAAUGCUAAUACCUGAUAUUAUGAUUUUAGGGCAUCCUAAGAUUAUGAAAGCUAUAUGCGCUGUGAGAGAGCUUUGCGUCCCAUUAGCUAGUUGGAGAGGUAACGGCUCACCAAGGCGAUGAUGGGUAGCCGGCCUGAGAGGGUGAACGGCCACAAGGGGACUGAGACACGGCCCUUACUCCUACGGGAGGCAGCAGUGGGGAAUAUUGGACAAUGGACCAAAAGUCUGAUCCAGCAAUUCUGUGUGCACGAUGACGUUUUUCGGAAUGUAAAGUGCUUUCAGUUGGGAAGAAAAAAAUGACGGUACCAACAGAGGAAGUGACGGCUAAAUACGUGCCAGCAGCCGCGGUAAUACGUAUGUCACAAGCGUUAUCCGGAUUUAUUGGGCGUAAAGCGCGUCUAGGUGGUUAUGUAAGUCUGAUGUGAAAAUGCAGGGCUCAACUCUGUAUUGCGUUGGAAACUGCAUGACUAGAGUACUGGAGAGGUAAGCGGAACUACAAGUGUAGAGGUGAAAUUCGUAGAUAUUUGUAGGAAUGCCGAUGGGGAAGCCAGCUUACUGGACAGAUACUGACGCUAAAGCGCGAAAGCGUGGGUAGCAAACAGGAUUAGAUACCCUGGUAGUCCACGCCGUAAACGAUGAUUACUAGGUGUUGGGGGUCGAACCUCAGCGCCCA